rnacentral:lncRNA from 1 species
AUUGAAACCAGCCAUUACAGUCAUUCCAUCAUCCACGAAUUAAUUCCCCUGCUUUACAUCUCGUGCAUGAUCUUCCCUUCCACAUUUUUCUUAUCCUCUCCUAUCUCCCACGUGUUCCAACCGUAUCAUCCUACCCUCCCAUAUCCCACAUUCGGCCGACUGCAUUAGAUCUCCCGUUCAAAGACCAUAGCCAUAACGCCUUCCAGAUUAAUCCCAGCGAACUUCCCACG